UGGGCGAACCUACCAAUAGAAGAUGCCACUUGGGAGAACUAUGACGACUUGAAGAUCAAAUUCCCAGAAUUCACGAAUCAUCAGCCUCGAGGACAAGGCUGAUUUGAAGAGGGUGGGUCUGUUAGGACUCUAGCUUGGAGAGUCCUAAUUGAGAGGGACAUUCAUGUAAAACUGUUAGGACUCUAGCUAGGAGAGUCCUAAUUGAGAGGGCAUUCAUGUAGGAGGUUUUUUCUUAGAGAAGAAUUAGGAGUUGUAAGGGAAUAAGAGUCUUGAGUAGGAGUCCUAUUAGGAGUUGGUUAGAAGUAAGAGUCUUAAGUAGGAGUCCUAUUAGGAGUUAGGGUUUAGAAGCCCUAUAAAUAGCCACG
rnacentral:lncRNA from 1 species